rnacentral:rRNA from 1 species
UACGUAGGGGGCAAGCGUUGUCCGGAAUCAUUGGGCGUAAAGAGCGUGUAGGCGGCCCGGUAAGUCCGCUGUGAAAGUCCAGGGCUCAACCCUGGGAUGCCGGUGGAUACUGUCGGGCUAGAGUGCGGAAGAGGCGAGUGGAAUUCCUGGUGUAGCGGUGAAAUGCGCAGAUAUCAGGAGGAACACCGAUUGCGAAGGCAGCUCGCUGGGACGUCACUGACGCUGAGACGCGAAAGCGUGGGGAGCAAACAGG